AUUCCAACCAGCAUGACUUGCGGGAAGUAGACGGUCUAUGAGGUGCCCAAAGAGAAUAAAAGUACAUGCAGGAUGCUUCUACUUAGGGCUUUUGGGUAGAGAAAGAAAUACACAAGUUAAAAAGGGACAACAUUUUCCCUUAAAGUCUAUGUAACUUAAAGUGGGGGGAGGUCCUUCAAACCCCGCGAAGUCAAACCAAACCAAAUUACUGGAGCUUAGCUGCGCAAUCGGAGUGUAACCACAUCAAGUGAGCCUGGUCUGCUGCAAAACAUCACUUAAACUGGAGCUCUGACUUAUUGUUCUCUUACUGCCCUAGAGCAAUUUUGUUUUGAAGAGCACAGAACACCCUGUUCUGAAUGUGGCUGGCACAUGAACUCAAUGUGCUGACAGCAAUUUGUACUCCGAUUAAAACGGGUGGGGGGAGGAAAGAGUGUACUGCAGUAACAAAAACUGGAAUGCAAGAACCCCAAAACUGUGUAAUUUGUAUUUUAGGAAGCAAAACUGAGAAAGAGGCUCCAUAACCUUAAAAAAAGUGCUGUAAAUGCUCCAGCCUAAAGACGUAGCUCUGCUGUGUUCCAGUGGUCUGCGGCUGGAGGCCCACUCAACUGGCUGAAGCAGAGUGUUCCCUCAGAACAGGGAAUCAGCGGUAUCACUGAGUUUAUCCACAAUAAAUGAAGAGCAUCAGUUAAUCUGGAGCAGUAUCUGGGAGCCCGAGCCUCACCGGGAGGGAAUCUGCCCCUCCGGGACUGAAGAAGUCACUGGGCAUGAGGGACGGGCGGCUACCAGGGGGGCAGACGCUGCCCACACCAGCAAGGAUACCGUGCUAUCACUUCCGGUUUCUCCAGCAGGUUGAACUUGUGCCCACAUCUGCAGAUGCCUUAAGGACACAAUC